rnacentral:rRNA from 1 species
UACGGGGGGGGCAAGCGUUGUUCGGAAUUACUGGGCGUAAAGGGCUCGUAGGCGGCCAACUAAGUCAGACGUGAAAUCCCUCGGCUUAACCGGGGAACUGCGUCUGAUACUGGAUGGCUUGAGUUUGGGAGAGGGACGCGGAAUUCCAGGUGUAGCGGUGAAAUGCGUAGAUAUCUGGAGGAACACCGGUGGCGAAGGCGGCGUCCUGGACCGACAUUGACGCUGAACGGCGAAAGCUAGGGGAGCAAACGGG